rnacentral:rRNA from 1 species
GACGAACGCUGGCGGCGUGCCUAAUACAUGCAAGUUGAGCGCUGAAGGUUGGUACUUGUACCAACUGGAUGAGCAGCGAACGGGUGAGUAACGCGUGGGGAAUCUGCCUUUGAGCGGGGGACAACAUUUGGAAACGAAUGCUAAUACCGCAUAAAAACUUUAAACACAAGUUUUAAGUUUGAAAGAUGCAAUUGCAUCACUCAAAGAUGAUCCCGCGUUGUAUUAGCUAGUUGGUGAGGUAAAGGCUCACCAAGGCGAUGAUACAUAGCCGACCUGAGAGGGUGAUCGGCCACAUUGGGACUGAGACACGGCCCAAACUCCUACGGGAGGCAGCAGUAGGGAAUCUUCGGAAAUGGACGAAAGUCUGACCGAGCAACGCAGCGUGAGUGAAGAAGGGUUUCGGAUCGUAAAACUCUGUUGGUAGAGAAGAACGUUGGUGAGAGUGGAAAGCUCAUCAAGUGACGGUAACUACCCAGAAAGGGACGGCUAACUACGUG